rnacentral:rRNA from 1 species
CAGCUAGUUGGUAGGGUAAUGGCCUACCAAGGCAAUGAUCGGUAGCCGGCCUGAGAGGGCACACGGCCACACUGGCACUGAAACACGGGCCAGACUCCUACGGGAGGCAGCAGUGGGGAAUCUUGCACAAUGGGGGAAACCCUGAUGCAGCGACGCCGCGUGAGCGAUGAAGCCCUUCGGGGUGUAAAGCUCUUUCGGCAGGAACGAUAAUGACGGUACCUGAAGAAGAAGCUGCGGCUAACUACGUGCCAGCAGCCGCGGUAAUACGUAGGCAGCAAGCGUUGUUCGGAGUUACUGGGCGUAAAGAGUGUGUAGGCUGUUCUCUAAGUUUGGUGUGAAAUCUCCCGGCUUAACUGGGAGGGUGCGCCGAAAACUGGAGGGCUUGAGUAUGGGAGAGGAAAGCGGAAUUCCUGGUGUAGCGGUGAAAUGCGUAGAUAUCAGGAGGAACACCUGCGGUGUAGACGGCUUUCUGGACCAUCACUGACGCUGAGACACGAAAGCGUGGGGAGCAAACAGGAUUAGAUACCCUGGUAGUCCACGCCCUAAACGAUGCAUACUUGGUGUGAGCCGUUCAUUCGGUUCGUGCCGGAGCUAACGCGUUAAGUAUGCCGCCUGGGGAGUACGGUCGCAAG